AUUGAACGCUGGCGGCAGGCCUAACACAUGCAAGUCGAGCGAGCGGCGGACGGGUGAGUAAUGUCUGGGGAUCUGCCUGAUGGAGGGGGAUAACUACUGGAAACGGUAGCUAAUACCGCAUACUAUCGGAUGUGCCCAGAUGGGAUUAGCUAGUAGGUGGGGUAAAGGCUCACCUAGGCGACGAUCGCUAGCUGGUCUGAGAGGAUGACCAGCCACACUGGAACUGAGACACGGCCCAGACUCCUACGGGAGGCAGCAGUGGGGAAUAUUGCACAAUGGGCGCAAGCCUGAUGCAGCCAUGCCGCGUGUAUGAAGAAGGCCUUCGGGUUGUAAAGUACUUUCAGCGGGGAGGCGUUACCCGCAGAAGAAGCACCGGCUAACUCCGUGCCAGCAGCCGCGGUAAUAC
rnacentral:rRNA from 1 species